rnacentral:rRNA from 1 species
CCUACGGGGUGCUGCAGUGGGGAAUAUUGGACAAUGGGCGAGAGCCUGAUCCAGCCAUGCCGCGUGUGUGAAGAAGGCCUUCGGGUUGUAAAGCACUUUCAGUGGGGAAGAAAGCCUUGGGGCUAAUACCCUCGAGGAAGGACAUCACCCACAGAAGAAGCACCGGCUAACUCCGUGCCAGCAGCCGCGGUAAUACGGAGGGUGCGAGCGUUAAUCGGAAUUACUGGGCGUAAAGCGCGCGUAGGCGGUCUGAUAAGCCGGUUGUGAAAGCCCCGGGCUCAACCUGGGAACGGCAUCCGGAACUGUCAGGCUAGAGUGCAGGAGAGGAAGGUAGAAUUCCCGGUGUAGCGGUGAAAUGCGUAGAGAUCGGGAGGAAUACCAGUGGCGAAGGCGGCCUUCUGGACUGACACUGACGCUGAGGUGCGAAAGCGUGGGUAGCAAACAGGAUUAGCUACCCUAGUAGUC